AGCAGCCGCGGUAAUUCCAGCUCCAAUAGCGUAUAUUAAAGUUGUUGCAGUUAAAAAGCUCGUAGUUGAAUUUCGGGAUUGGCGCAUCGGUCGUGCCUCACGGGGUAUGAACUGGUGCAGUCAAUUUCUCACCUUCUGGAGAACCGCGAUGUCCUUAAUUGGGUGCCGCGGGGAACCAGGACCUUUACUUUGAAAAAAUUGAGUGUUUAAAGCAGGCAUUUUUGCUUGAAUACAUUAGCAUGGAAUAAUAAAAUAGGACGGCAUGGUUCUAUUUUGUUGGUUUCUAGGACCACCGUAAUGAUUAAUAGGGAUAGUUGGGGGCAUUAGUAUUCAAUUGUCAGAGGUGAAAUUCUUGGAUUUAUUGAAGACUAACUACUGCGAAAGCAUUUGCCAAGGAUGUUUUCAUUAAUCAAGAACGAAGUUAGGGAUCGAAGACGAUCAGAUACCGUCGUAGUCUUAACCAUUAAACCUAUCGACCGACUAGGAAUCAGACGAUGUUAAUUUUUAUGUACUCGUUUUG
rnacentral:rRNA from 1 species